rnacentral:rRNA from 1 species
UACAGAGGUCUCAAGCGUUGUUCGGAUUCAUUGGGCGUAAAGGGUGCGUAGGCGGCGCGGUAAGUCGGGUGUGAAAUCUCGGAGCUUAACUCCGAAACUGCAUUCGAUACUGCCGUGCUUGAGGACUGGAGAGGAGACUGGAAUUUACGGUGUAGCGGUGAAAUGCGUAGAUAUCAGGAAGAACACCCGUGGCGAAGGCGGCUCUCUGGUACGGAACUGACGCUGAGACGCGAAAGCGUGGGGAGCGAACAGG